AUUGAACGCUGGCGGCAGGCUUAACACAUGCAAGUCGAGCGGAGAGAGGUAGCUUGCUACUGAUCUUAGCGGCGGACGGGUGAGUAAUGCUUAGGAAUCUGCCUAUUAGUGGGGGACAACAUUUCGAAAGGAAUGCUAAUACCGCAUACGUCCUACGGGAGAAAGCAGGGGAUCUUCGGACCUUGCGCUAAUAGAUGAGCCUAAGUCGGAUUAGCUAGUUGGUGGGGUAAAGGCCUACCAAGGCGACGAUCUGUAGCGGGUCUGAGAGGAUGAUCCGCCACACUGGGACUGAGACACGGCCCAGACUCCUACGGGAGGCAGCAGUGGGGAAUAUUGGACAAUGGGCGCAAGCCUGAUCCAGCCAUGCCGCGUGUGUGAAGAAGGCCUUAUGGUUGUAAAGCACUUUAAGCGAGGAGGAGGCUACUUUAGAUAAUACCUAGAGAUAGUGGACGUUACUCGCAGAAUAAGCACCGGCUAACUCUGUGCCAGCAGCCGCCGCGGUAA
rnacentral:rRNA from 1 species